rnacentral:lncRNA from 1 species
GACCUGCCGGCCAGCCCUUAACCUGCCAGCCAGGAGAAAUAUGCGUCCUGGAUCGCCACCAGGUCGCACAGAAACCCCAACCCCCAGCCAGCAAAAGUCUCUCUCAGGUGCCGCACUCUAUACUGAGUGUGUGCUUUUAAAAUUCUGCCCGAUAAUCUCCUUAUGCCUCUCAUGGGCACAUUUUAAGAAUUAUUUUUCUGUGACGUAAGUCAACAAACCUACAACCUACUCUGUUGGGGUGAUUUGAGGUGCCCCUUCCUAUGUGGGGAUCUCCUCAAGCCCCAUCUGGUGACCCUAUCUUCUGGUGAGGACCGUCUUUAUCAUUCCCAGGAGAAACCCUGGUCUCUGCGCCCUGUCCAUGCCUCUGUGGGCUGCGCCCCGCCCGGCGCCCCAAGGCACACCAGUUGCGGGUCGCAGUGCCAUCCCAGCUGCCAGCCUGGGCUCGGGCUGCCUCCGCACCAGACUCCAUGCUGCCUGCCCGGAUUUAAAAGUUUGGCAGUGAGAAGUAUCAGCGAGGGUGAGGAAAAUGGCAGACAUCACACCCAGAACUGAAGUCCAGCUCAAACCACAAAAUGAGAUGGGGCCACCUCGCUGAGUGGAAGAUGUCUCCGAAGACUGUGACUCACAAAUUCCUUCCAGGUACUUGGGGGCACAAGCGCAAGGAGGCUCCCUAGGGGCACUGGUUUUGUUUUAAAGAAGGUAUUUAUAGGAUGUGUUGGCUAAUGUAAUUCUCAAAUACUUUAUCUUAGAGUUUCUAAAGCACUGGACACUUGUUA